UGCUGCUGUACGUCGGUUUUCGUGGCCUUUCCGGUUCCAGAUUUCCUGAUAACGUCUCCAAUCAUUCCGAUGGAACUCGUAGUAUCGAUGGUGACCAAGCUGCUUUUUCGACAGCUUCCCAAAUUGGCCCACCUGCUGGCUAACGACGAAUCUUACACCCAGCUGGGAAGCCUUGAGGAGGGUCCCGGGCGGUGUGUUACGUGAUGAUAUGAUGUUCAAACUGUUCCAGAUGCAACAAUUUGCGGUAAACUUCGACGUCAUGAUCGAAUUUUUGAUGUUCGGAUGAUAUGAUUCAGAUGCUCCGGCCGGAAACAUCACUCGGACCUCUACGAUAGCUGCGAGACCUCAGUAAUGACUUGGGUGAUCAAUCCAAGCGCAAUCGUACUUCCAAGGACUCGAAGGUAGACGAAUUGAUGAAUUGGAUGCUCAUA